rnacentral:rRNA from 1 species
AGGACGGACGCUGGCGGCGUGCUUAACACAUGCAAGUCGAGCGGAAAGGCCCUUCGGGGUACUCGAGCGGCGAACGGGUGAGUAACACGUGAGCAACCUGCCCUUAGCUCUGGGAUAGCUCCGGGAAACCGGAAUUAAUACCGGAUACGACCUAGGCCGACAUCGGCCAUGGUGGAAAAGUUUUUUCGGCUUAGGGAUGGACUCGCGGCCUAUCAGCUAGUUGGUGGGUAAAGGCCUACCAAGGCGACGACGGGU